rnacentral:rRNA from 1 species
UACGAAGGGGGCUAGCGUUGUUCGGAAUUACUGGGCGUAAAGCGCGCGCAGGCGGCUAUCCAAGUCAGUGGUGAAAGCCCGGAGCUCAACUCCGGAACUGCCAUUGAAACUGUUUAGCUUGAGGAUGAGAGAGGUGAGUGGAAUUCCCAGUGUAGAGGUGAAAUUCGUAGAUAUUGGGAAGAACACCCGGUGGCGAAGGCGGCUCAUCUGGACG